rnacentral:rRNA from 1 species
AGGGCACCACCAGGAGUGGAGCCUGCGGCUUAAUUUGACUCAACACGGGAAAACUCACCCGGCCCGGACACUGGAAGGAUUGACAGAUUGAGUGCUCUUUCUUGAUUCAGUGGGUGGUGGUGCAUGGCCGUUCUUAGUUGGUGGAGCGAUUUGUCUGGUUAAUUCCGAUAACGAACGAGACUCUAGCCUACUAAAUAGAUCGUUGGCUUACAAACGCUGAUGAGACUUCCUAGAGGGACAGGCGGCGAUUCAGCCGCACGAAACAGAGCAAUAACAGGUCUGUGAUGCCCUUAGAUGUCCGGGGCCGCACGCGCGCUACACUGAAGUGAUCAGCGUGCAUUUUCAGCCUACUCUGCCAAGAGUGGGAAACCCAAUGAACCUUCUUCGUGAUUGGGAUAGGAGAUUGUAAUUAUUCUCCUUGAACGAGGAAUUCCCAGUAAGCGCGAGUCAUAAGCUCGCGUUGAUUACGUCCCUGCCCUUUGUACACACCGCCCGUCGCUACUACCGAUUGAAUGUUUU